rnacentral:rRNA from 1 species
ACGGAGGGUGCAAGCGUUAAUCGGAAUUACUGGGCGUAAAGCGCACGCAGGCGGUCUGUCAAGUCGGAUGUGAAAGCCCCGGGCUCAACCUGGGAAUUGCAUUUGGGACUGCAAGGCUGGAGUGCGGCAGAGGAGACUGGAAUUCCUGGUGUAGCAGUGAAAUGCGUAGAUAUCAGGAGGAAUACCGAUGGCGAAGGCAGGUCUCUGGGCUGACACUGACGCUCAUGCACGAAAGCGUGGGGAGCAAACAGGA